AAACGGCCUUUAAAAUGGAGUUACCAAAAUACUCGGUUUCUGUUAUUCCCAUUUUAGCUUCCAACACCCCAUUCUCCCUCUCUCCUUCCCUCUUCCUUCUCUCUUUCUUUCUCUCUCUCUCUCACUUUCAUUUCUGUGCAGAAAAGCUUUGUUAAUGUAUUUUAAUGGCUUCGGAUAAAGGUCGCCCCUUGCCGAAGUUCGGCGAGUGGGAUGUCAACAACCCAGCCUCCGCUGAAGGAUUUACGGUAAUAUUUAGCAAAGCUAGAGAUGAGAAGAAGUCAAAUGAGGCUCCUGGGAACACAGGAGCCAAAAACAAUACAUCCAGACCAGAAGAGAAUUAUCAAUAUUCUCCCAUGAAAAAAUGGUUUUGCUGUUUCUGAAACUGCUAGGGAGUGAUGGUGGUGGUGACGACAGAUAAUGUGAAAGAAGGCUGAAGAAAAGAUUUAUGAGUGAGAAGCAGAAUCAAGUAGGGAUGUGAUGGUUUAUUUCCUCUCUCUCUCUCUCUCUGUACCUCUUACUAUAUAUGCAAAAUAUAGAAUACAAAAAUUUUCAUGACAUGCAUAUAGAAGUUGAGCGGUGGUUAUAGCUCCCUGUAAGUUUCGCUCUAAUAGAAACUUUUUGCUUUCAGUUUUUUUUUCUCAAUGUCACGGAUAUUGUUGUUUGCAAAUUAACCAUUCAAAAAUUUCUGAACCAACACACUUUGUUUUUCUAAACUGUACAUGUUACAUGGUGAAAAGAAAAGACCCAUACUCACCUACUUAAAUGAUUAAUGACAUGCCUCUCACAAACAAAUGAAAUCUAACCUUAUACUUACAUCAAAGCGCACUGCCGUGUUUGAUCACGUAUCACAUUAGGGAUGGUCAUGCCUAUCCUAGCCCAAAUGCGAUGGUCAUCUCCAUUGCGAUUUUCAUUUUUCUCUAUUCUACCACAAUAUUCAUGGGAAAAGCACAACAAAGUGAGAAAAAUGAAGAUCGCGAUAAACAUAGUCAUCACAUUAGGGUUAUGAUAAGCAUCGUCAUCUCUAAUGUGAUACUAUAUAAAACACUGAUAGUGCACUUUGACGUACGCAAAGGUUAGAUUGGGAGUAGGUCAUUAAUCAUAAAAGUACCCGUGAAAAGGUCUAUCUGUAGGGGAAAAAAAAAGCUCUAAAAAGAAAUCUAAAAAGAAACCAAACGACUGCUUCCUUUUUUUUCCUUAGAAUGGUAGAGAGGGAGAAUUUAAAUUAAU